CCUACGGGUGGCUGCAGUGGGGAAUAUUGGGCAAUGGGCACAACCCUGACCCAGCAACGCCGCGUGAAGGAUGAAGGUUUUCGGGUUGUAAACUUCUUUUCUCAGGGACGAAGAAAGUGACGGUACCUGAAGAAUAAGCCACGGCUAACUACGUGCCAGCAGCCGCGGUAAUACGUAGGUGGCAAGCGUUAUCCGGAAUUACUGGGUGUAAAGGGUGUGUAGGUGGGACAGCAAGUCAGCUGUGAAAUCCACGGGCUCAACCUGUGGGCUGCAGUUGAAACUGUUAUACUUGAGUACUGGAGAGGCAGGUGGAAUUCCUAGUGAAGCGGUGAAAUGCGUAGAUAUUAGGAGGAACACCAGUGGCGAAGGCGAUCUGCUGGACAGCAACUGACGCUGAGGCGCGAAAGCGUGGGGAGCAAACAGGAUUAGAUACCCCUGUAGUC
rnacentral:rRNA from 1 species